rnacentral:misc_RNA from 1 species
AACGCACGAGACCUGCGGACCUGCGGAGGGAUCAUUACAGAGUUGCAAAACUCCCAAACCAUUGUGAACGUUACCUUCUCGUUGCUUCGGCGGGCGGCCCGGGUCCUUCCCGGCGCCCCCCGGCCCCUCGCGGGCGCCCGCCGGAGGUAAACCAAACUCUUGAAUUGUAUGGCCUCUCUGAGUCUUCUGUACUGAAUAAGUCAAAACUUUCAACAACGGAUCUCUAGAUCGGAAGAGCAC